rnacentral:rRNA from 1 species
AUUGAACGCUAGCGGGAUGCCUUACACAUGCAAGUCGAACGGCAGCGGGAAGUAGCUUGCUACUUUGCCGGCGAGUGGCGAACGGGUGAGUAAUGUAUCGGAACGUGCCCAGUAGCGGGGGGAUAACUACGCGAAAGCGUGGCUAAUACCGCAUACGCCUACGGGGAAGGGGGGUACGUCUUCGGAGCCUCUCACUAUUGGAGCGGCCGAUAUCGGAUUAGCUAGUUGGUGGGUAAAGG